rnacentral:rRNA from 1 species
CGCCCUUAGAGUUUGAUCCUGGCUCAGGAUGAACGCUGGCGGCGUGCCUAACACAUGCAAGUCGAACGGACUCAUAUUGAAACCUAGUGAUUUAUGAGUUAGUGGCGGACGGGUGAGUAACGCGUGGAAAACCUGCCGUAUACCGGGGGAUAACACUUAGAAAUAGGUGCUAAUACCGCAUAAGCGCACAGCUUCGCAUGAAGCAGUGUGAAAAACUCCGGUGGUAUAUGAUGGUUCCGCGUCUGAUUAGCUAGUUGGCGGGGUAACGGCCCACCAAGGCAGCGAUCAGUAGCCGGCCUGAGAGGGUGAACGGCCACAUUGGGACUGAGACACGGCCCAAACUCCUACGGGAGGCAGCAGUGGGGAAUAUUGCACAAUGGGGGAAACCCUGAUGCAGCGACGCCGCGUGAGCAAAGAAGUAUUUCGGUACGUAAAGCUCUAUCAGCAGGGAAGAAAAUGACGGUACCUGACUAAGAAGCCCCGGCUAACUACGUGCCAGCAGCCGCGGUAAUACGUAGGGGGCAAGCGUUAUCCGGAUUUACUGCGUGUAAAGGGAGCGUAGACGGCAGCGCAAGUCUGGAGUGAAAUGCCGGGGCCCCACCCCCGGAACUGCUUUGGAAACUGUGCAGCUUUGAGUGCGGGAGAGGUUAAGUGUAAUUCCUAGUGAGCGGUGAACUGCGCA